AUGCAGAGGUCACCAAGCACACAAUCAGGUGUUCAACCUGGCAGCAGUUUAUAUUGCUGCAGUAGCCUAGGGUCCAGAACGGACCCGGGCCAGAUGAGACCGUAUUUUUAUGAGUCUGUUGCGGGUCCGUGGCAGAUAUAUGGAGAGGCAUCCAUCCGCAGACUCACUUCUUGCUAGACACCAGUGGAUGGACAGCAGACGUCAUUUCCGUAUCCUCAUUCACUUUUCAAUUUUGACGCGCCACGCAGAUGUCAGUGGUAAGAAAAAAUAAUAAACUGUCAAUGAUUUAUAAGUCAUGUCAGAAUUCAAAUGCACAAACUAGCUAGUUAAAAAAAAUCGUCUUGUUUUCAAGGUACUGUGUCGUGUUUUUUAAAGGUAUUAGUGAACUCUGGUGUGCCUCAAUUCUAGAAUUAACGUUAGGUUGCUACAAUAGAUUUUCCAAUUAAAUCAUUCUUUGAGUGGUAUGAUUAAAUAUUGUAAAUACGUUUUUUUUUUUUUUCACUUGGAUGUGUGAAGAUUGUUCCCAGUUAAUGAGAUCUCAUAGAACAGUCUUGGUAGAGAAUAGUCUAAAAUGCUAGGUUGUCUAUGCACACGAGAGUUUGCUAGCUAGCUAUGUUUUUUUGUUUUUUGUUGAAGUAGUACUUUUCCCUAUGCAGGUGUAAAUGCCUGAUGUUUAAUAUGUUUAUGAUGAUGUUUAAAGCGCUUUGGUGGCCAUGGGUCUGUUGAAAGCGCUAUAUAGCCUAAAUGCAGUACAUUUACCAUUUUACAUAUUUUGUAUAGGAGAAUGUUAACAUUUAUUUAAGUUUUUUUUUGUUUUUGUUACCACACUAUUUUUUACAGUCCAUCUACCACACACAACUUUUCACCUACAUUGUUCAAUUCCUUUUUUUUUUUUUUUGUAAAGUUAUUAA
rnacentral:lncRNA from 1 species